rnacentral:rRNA from 1 species
CCAAUAGCGUAUAUUAAAGUUGUUGCAGUUAAAAAGCUCGUAGUUGAAUUUCGGGAUUAGUACGUUGGUCGUGCCUUCGGUACGUACUGGUGUUACUGAUUCCUACCUUCUGACGAACCAUCAUGUCAUUAAUUUGGUGUGGUGGGGAAUCAGGACUGUUACUUUGAAAAAAUUAGAGUGUUUAAAGCAGGCUCGCGCUUGAAUACAUUAGCAUGGAAUAAUGAAAUAGGACGUUGAUCCUAUUUUGUUGGUUUCUAGGAUUGACGUAAUGAUUAAUAGGGAUAGUUGGGGGCAUUAGUAUUCAAUUGUCAGAGGUGAAAUUCUUGGAUUUAUUGAAGACUAACUACUGCGAAAGCAUUUGCCAAGGAUGUUUUCAUUAAUCAAGAACGAAAGUUAGGGGAUCGAAGACGAUCAGAUACCGUCGUAGUCUUAACCAUAAACUAUGCCGACUAGGGAUCGGAUGAUGUUAUUUUUAAUGACUCAUUCGGCGCCUUACG